rnacentral:rRNA from 1 species
GAUGAACGCUGGCGGCGUGCCUAAUACAUGCAAGUCGAGCGAAUGGAUUAAGAGCUUGCUCUUAUGAAGUUAGCGGCGGACGGGUGAGUAACACGUGGGUAACCUGCCCAUAAGACUGGGAUAACUCCGGGAAACCGGGGCUAAUACCGGAUAAUAUUUUGAACUGCAUGGUUCAAAAUUGAAAGGCGGCUUCGGCUGUCACUUAUGGAUGGACCCGCGUCGCAUUAGCUAGUUGGUGAGGUAACGGCUCACCAAGGCAACGCUGCGUAGUCGAACUGAGAGGGUGAUCGGCCAUACUGGGACUAAGACACGGCCCAGACUCCUACGGGAGGCAGCAGUAGGGAAUCUUCCGCAAUGGACGAACGUCUGACGGAGCAAUGCCGCGUGAGUGAUGAAGGCUUUCGGGUCGUAAAACUCUGUUGUUAGGGAAGAACAAGUGCUAGUUGAAUAAGCUGGCACCUUGACGGUACCUAACCAGAAAGCCACGGCUAACUACGUGCCAGACGCCGCAGUAA